UACGUAGGGGGCAAGCGUUGUUCGGAAUUACUGGGCGUAAAGGGCGCGUAGGCGGCACGGCAAGUCGGGAGUGAAAGCCCGGGGCUCAACCCCGGAGGGUCUUCCGAAACUGCCGGGCUAGAGUGCGGAAGAGGCAACCGGAAUUCCCAGUGUAGCGGUGAAAUGCGUAGAUAUUGGGAAGAACACCGGAGGCGAAGGCGGGUUGCUGGGCCGACACUGACGCUGAGGCGCGAAAGCUAGGGGAGCGAACGGG
rnacentral:rRNA from 1 species